UACGUAGGGGGCAAGCGUUGUCCGGAUUUAUUGGGCGUAAAGAGCGUGUAGGCGGCCAGACAGGUCCGUUGUGAAAACUCGAGGCUCAACCUCGAGACGUCGAUGGAAACCGUCUGGCUAGAGUCCGGAAGAGGAGAGUGGAAUUCCUGGUGUAGCGGUGAAAUGCGCAGAUAUCAGGAAGAACACCCGUGGCGAAGGCGGCUCUCUGGGACGGUACUGACGCUGAGGUGCGAAAGCGUGGGGAGCAAACAGG
rnacentral:rRNA from 1 species